rnacentral:miRNA from 8 species
CAAAUCAUUUUUUACUCUCCAA